rnacentral:rRNA from 1 species
UACGUAGGGGGCAAGCGUUGUCCGGAAUCAUUGGGCGUAAAGAGCGUGUAGGCGGUCCGGUAAGUCGGCUGUGAAAGUCCAGGGCUCAACCCUGGGAUGCCGGUCGAUACUGCCGGACUAGAGUUCGGAAGAGGCGAGUGGAAUUCCCGGUGUAGCGGUGAAAUGCGCAGAUAUCGGGAGGAACACCUGAUAGGCGAAGGCA